rnacentral:rRNA from 1 species
UCGAUAACGAACGAGACCUUCAUCUGCUAAAUAGCCCAAUCAGCCUUGGCUGAUUGCCGGCUUCUUAGAGAGACUUUCGGCUUAAGCCGAAGGAAGUUGGAGGCAAUAACAGGUCUGUGAUGCCCUUAGAUGUCCUGGGCUGCACGCGCGUUACACUGACAGAGCCAACGAGUAAACCACCUUGGCCGAAAGGUCUGGGUAAUCUUGUUAAACUCUGUCGUGCUGGGGAUAGUGCAUUGCAAUUAUUGCACUUCAACGAGGAAUGCCUAGUAAGCGCAAGUCAUCAGCUUGCGUUGAUUACGUCCCUGCCUUUUGUACACACCGCCCGUCGCUACUACCGAUUGAAUGG